AUUGAACGCUGGCGGCAGGCCUAACACAUGCAAGUCGAGCGAGCGGCGGACGGGUGCGUAAUGUCUGGGAAACUGUCUGUUGGCGAGGGAUAACUACUGGAAACGGUAUCUAAUACCGCAUACCAUCAGAUGUGCCCAGAUGGGAUUAGCUAGUAGGUGGGGUAACGGCUCACCUAGGCGACGAUCCCUAGCUGGUCUGAGAGGUGGACCGGCCACACUGGAACUGAGACACGGCCCAGACUCCUACGGGAGGCAGCAGUAGGGAAUAUUGCACAAUGGGCGAAAGCCUGAUACAGCCAUGCCGCGUGUGUGAAGAAGGCCUUCGGGUUGUAAAGCACUUUCAGCGGGGAGGCGUUACCCGCAGAAGAAGCACCGGCUAACUCCGUGCCAGCAGCCGCGGUAAUUC
rnacentral:rRNA from 1 species